rnacentral:misc_RNA from 1 species
GAUGAAGAACGCAGCGAAAUGCGAUAAGUAAUGUGAAUUGCAGAAUUCAGUGAAUCAUCGAAUCUUUGAACGCACAUUGCGCCCGCCAGUAUUCUGGCGGGCAUGCCUGUCUGAGCGUCAUUUCAACCCUCAUGCCCCUAGGGCGUGGUGUUGGGGAUCGGCCAAAGCCCGCGAGGGACGGCCGGCCCCUAAAUCUAGUGGCGGACCCGUCGUGGCCUCCUCUGCGAAGUAGUGAUAUUCCGCAUCGGAGAGCGACGAGCCCCUGCCGUUAAACCCCCAACUUUCCAAGGUUGACCUCAGAGCAGGUAGGAAUACCCGCUGAACUUAAGCAUAUCAAUAAGCGGAGGA